AUUGAACGCUGGCGGCAGGCCUAACACAUGCAAGUCGAACGAGUGGCGGACGGGAGAGUAAUGAUUCGGCAUCUGGCUUGUGGAGGGGGAUCACUACGGGACACUGUAGCUAAUUACGCGUACCAUAGGAUGAGCCCGAGUGGGAUUGGGUAGUUGGUGAGGUAAAGGUUAACCAAGACGACGAUCUGUAGCUGGUCUGAGAGGAUGACCAGCCACACUGGGACUGAGACACGGCCCAGACUCCUACGGGAGGCAGCAGUGGGGAAUAUUGCACAAUGGGGGCAACCUGACGCAGCCAUGCCGCGUGAAUGAAGAAGGCCUUCGGGUUGUAAAGUUCUUUCGGUAGCGAGGCGUUAACUACAGAAGAAGCACCGGCUAACUCCGUGCCAGCAGCCGCGGUAAUAC
rnacentral:rRNA from 1 species